AUGACCUCGGAUCAGGUAGGGAUACCCGCUGAACUUAAGCAUAUCAAUAAGCGGAGGAAAAGAAACCAACAGGGAUUACCUCAGUAACGGCGAG
rnacentral:rRNA from 1 species